rnacentral:rRNA from 2 species
UACGGAGGGAGCUAGCGUUGUUCGGAAUUACUGGGCGUAAAGCGCACGUAGGCGGCUUUUCAAGUCAGGGGUGAAAUCCCGGGGCUCAACCCCGGAACUGCCCUUGAAACUGGAUGGCUAGAAUACUGGAGAGGUGAGUGGAAUUCCGAGUGUAGAGGUGAAAUUCGUAGAUAUUCGGAAGAACACCAGUGGCGAAGGCGACUCACUGGACAGUUAUUGACGCUGAGGUGCGAAAGCGUGGGGAGCAAAC